rnacentral:rRNA from 1 species
GACGAACGCUGGCGGCGUGCUUAACACAUGCAAGUCGAACGGAAAGGCCCUGCUUUUGUGGGGUGCUCGAGUGGCGAACGGGUGAGUAACACGUGAGUAACCUGCCCUUGACUUUGGGAUAACUUCAGGAAACUGGGGCUAAUACCGGAUAGGAGCUCCUGCUGCAUGGUGGGGGUUGGAAAGUUUCGGCGGUUGGGGAUGGACUCGCGGCUUAUCAGCUUGUUGGUGGGGUAGUGGCUUACCAAGGCUUUGACGGGUAGCCGGCCUGAGAGGGUGACCGGCCACAUUGGGACUGAGAGACGGCCCAGACUGCUACGGGAGGCAGCAGUGGGGAAUAUUGCACAAUGGGCGGACGCCUGAUGCAGCAACGCCGCGUGCGGGAUGACGGCCUUCGGGUUGUAAACCGCUUUCGCCUGUGACGAAGCGUGAGUGACGGUAAUGGGUAAAGAAGCACCGGCUAACUACGUG